GAUGAAGAACGCAGCGAAAUGCGAUAAGUAGUGUGAAUUGCAGAAUUCAGUGAAUCAUCGAAUCUUUGAACGCACAUUGCGCCCUUUGGUAUUCCUUAGGGCAUGCCUGUUCGAGCGUCAUUUAAACCUUCAAGCUCAGCUUGGUGUUGGGUGACUGUCCGCUUCACCGCGGACUCGCCUCAAAAUUAUUGGCGGCCGGUACAUUGGCUUCGAGCGCAGCAGAAACGCGAACUCGGGCCCGUCGUAUUGGCUCCCAGAAGCUAUCUUCACAAUUUGACCUCGGAUCAGGUAGGGAUACCCGCUGAACUUAAGCAUAUCAAUAAGCGGAGGA
rnacentral:misc_RNA from 1 species